GAAUCGUCGUCAGUCGGAAGAAACACGAGGGAAGGAAUUGUCAUUAAUUUUUUGAAAAAUCAAAUUAAUUCGCCCCCAAAAAAUAUGUAAUCGCCUAGAAUAAACUCGUAAUGUUGUACGACAAUCGAAUAAACAACGACGACGAACGUUUUCGUCUUUUUGCAAACUACACAAGUCGUACCGGACACAAUAAAACCGAAUAGCGCUACGACCAACAACCAACAACUACUAGCAUAAAGCAUAAAGCGAAAAAAGCGUGUGCAAUUGUGUUAGUGUUAGUGUACGUGCGUCGGUUGGCUGCCGUUGGUGUGUUGGCCGAAAACUGAAAGGCAGAAAAAACGGAAGAGAACAAUAAGCAAGUUGUAAUAGUAGCAACCGACGAGGGCAGGACCUAUACAAAAAAAAAAAAUAAAUAAAAAUAACCGGGCGGCGGAGUAACUGGAAGAUUGCGCAAAUGCACAACAACAACAGCAGCUAGCUAGCUGUAAAGCGUGCACGCGUGUGUGUGUGCGUGUGUUGUGUCCCGCCUACAACAACAAGAUAAAUUGCAUCGAAUGCUUUCAUUUGCUUUACGCGGUAAACGCCUCUCCACCCCCACCGCCUCUCCUUCACCGACCUUGUGCAUUUAUCAUCUAGUUUGGAUGAGUAGCGGGGCUGCAUAGAAAAUCUAUCAAAAUUCCACCACAAACACCGAUCACGGCUAGCGCCAUGCCCGUCUCGUUGGCUGUGUGCGAAACAACAGCGAAUGUCGUCAAUGCUGCACUCCGCGAAUCCCUUGGCAGCUGCGUUGCCCGUGCCGCUUUGUCAGCGGACGAGGCAAAAACCAGCAACGGCGGCGGCGAUGGAUCUUCCACAUCCGGCUCAUCUACGGAUAAUUUACAGAGCCAAAUUGUGGCCAAUGCCAAACGUGUCUUGUUAGCCAAAAUCGAUUACGAGGAGGUGGAUAAUUAUCAUGAGUCUGUUUUGGCCAAACUCAAAUCAAAAUAUAUUGUCAUUAAGCCGGACAGCAAUGGCGGCGCCGCAUCCAACGGUAACGGUAAUUACAACGGCAGCAACAAAACAAAUGGCAAAUUUGGUGCCGGAAAUGGACACGACAAUAAUGGCAAUGGCAAUGGGAUUGUGAACGGUGGCACCAGCGCAUUAAAUGGUGGCAACAAUCGCAAACAGAUUGUUGUUGUGGAUCAUCAGUCAAGCAAUCAGCAUGGUUCCCCAUCUAAUCCCAAUGAGUUGCCCAAACCGAAACGUGUCCUUUACCAGCGUGAACACAUACGCAUUGGCUGGAAGCAAUCGGAGCGCAAGUGGCAAGUUGGAACGGGCAUGCUGAAUGUGGGCAACACUUGUUACCUCAAUUCGUCGCUGCAGGCGCUCUUUCACAUCCCGUCACUGGCCAAUUGGCUCGUCUCGGAGUCUGCCCAUCUGGAGAACUGUAACAUUAGUGAAUCGUGUGGCAGCAAUGGUUGCAUCAUUUGUGCCAUGGCCAAAACGUUGCAGUCCACCCAAUCCAAUCAGUCGGCAGUGCGGCCAUUUCUCAUCUACUCGAAGCUAAGGCAAAUCUGUAAGCAUAUGGUCGUUGGAAGACAGGAGGAUGCCCAUGAGUUCCUGCGUUUCCUUAUCGAGGCCAUGGAGAAGGCGUAUCUGAUGCGUUUUCGCAACUACAAAGAGCUCGAUCAGUUGGUGAAAGAGACGACGCCGUUGAAUCAAAUCUUUGGUGGCUAUCUGCGCAGCGAGGUGCGCUGCCUGAGCUGUAAUCAUGUCUCGAUAACGUUUCAACAUUUCCAAGAUCUGCUGUUGGACAUUCGCAAGUCGGACACCUUGGAGGAUGCGUUCGAUGGUUACUUCUCACGUGAACGUCUCGAGGACAUGGGCUACAAGUGCGAGGGCUGCAAGAAAAAGGUAUCUGCAACGAAACAGUUCAGUUUGGAGCGUGCACCAAUCACGUUGUGCAUACAGCUGAAACGCUUCUCGAUGAUGGGCAACAAAUUGACGAAACAGAUUAGCUUUAAGCCACGCAUCGACCUCAGCCGUUUUGCAGCACGCAGCCCGACUGCAGCUGCGCAGCCUUUAAGCUAUCGCCUCGUCUCGAUGGUCACCCAUCUGGGUGUCUCCCAGCAUUGUGGCCAUUACACGGCCAUCGGGCUGACGGAGACGGGCAGCUAUUACAAUUUCGAUGAUAGCUGUGUGCGUCCGAUUGCCAUGCAGAGUGUUUGCAAUACGAACGCAUAUAUCAUGUUCUAUGAGCUGGAUGUGAACGGCAACGGGCACGUUGUUGCUCCCAAAAUGAAUGGCAUGCGUCUGACGACCAAUGGAGGACAGCAGCAUAGUAGUCCAGUUGUUGCCACAGCUCCAGCAGCUGUGGUUUCAGCGACGGCCACGUCCACAUCUGCCUCCGUUUCGGCUGCAGCUGUAACGUCGCCACGUUUCAUUGGGCCACAAUUGCCUAAUGGCUAUGGCAAUAGCAAUGGUCAUGCGCUGGGCGGUGGUGCUGCGAAGACUGCGAUUCAGUUCAAGACCACACCACAGAAGCAUCAACAACAGCAGCAAGCACAGACUCAAUAUCAGCUUAAUGGCCACAUUAAUGGAGCUGCUAAAUUUCAGACUGGCGCUGCCAAUGCGAAUGCCAACAAAAGUUCCUGCAACACUUUAAAUAACUCUAAACAACACCAGCCACAACAGCAACAACAACAACCGCAACAUAUACUGCCAAUAUCAUCCGACGAGGAGGAGGAUAGCGAUGAUGAUAAUGAUAAUGAUAAUGUGAAAACCAAUAAAGCGCCUCAGCUGCCAAGCAUGCCAAAAAUGUUUGAGGAGAGCAGCGAGAGUGUUGCGCUGACUGCCAAGUUGAAGCCAAAGACGGCACUCAAGAGCCUGGUGCCGUAUGAGUCCGCCUCCGAGGAGGAGGAACAACAACAGCAACAACAACAACAAACGUUGCAACAACAAGCGGCGACAAAUUCACGUAAGCGACGCAGUGGCGCUGAUUCAAGCGAUACAGAUGAUGAUGAUGAUGAGGAGCAGCAGCAACAGCAGCAGCAGCAGCCAUCACUCAUACUACGCAAUGGACACGCCAAGACAAAUGGUAAUCUGCUCAACAGCAGCAGCAGCAAAACCAAAUCCGCCUCAAAUGCCUCGUCGGCCAAUGUUAACAGUAGCAAACAAAAGACUGAUGCCAUAGACGAGAUAUUCAAAAGUCUAAACAACUACAAAAACAAACACAGAAACGAUCACAAUCACGUUGAUGAUGAUGAUGAUGAUGAUGAAGAUGAAGACGAAGAUGAGGAUGAGGCUCAGGCUCAGGCUGAGAAGAAGACAGUCACAAAAUCAAGCAGCAGUAGCAGCUCCACAUCGCUAACUAAUGGCUGGCAGCAGUCACAGAAUGGCAAAGCUACAGCAUCGCCAAAGACGCCGCCAUCGCCAGCGGUUAUUAAAACCAAGACUGGCAUCUGGCAGGUCACCCGCAACGACGAAGAUGAUGAUGAGAAUGUGGAUGGCGUUGCCGAUGCCGAUGAUGAUGAUGAUAACGAUGAAGUAGCGGAGCCAGCAGUUGUAACAGCAAAAAAUCACAAGAAUCCAUUUGCCGCCGGCAAAGCAACCGCAACAACGGACGCGAAUCCAAGUGCGAAGCGCCAGAAGCUGCUCAACGGCAGCUCCAAAUCCCAACAGACGACGCCACGCAUCGGCAAUGGCUACCAAGGCGAAUCGCUGCCCAAUGGCAAUGCGGUAGUGAGUGAGCUGCUCAAGCAGAAUCAUCGUGGCUAUGGCAGCUCCGUGCUCAGCUGGAAUGGCAAAGCAUCGGAGCUGGACAAGGAGACUUUUGAUUUGGUUUGUGCGAAACGGAUAGCUGGUUACGGCGCCGCUGCUGCGGAUGAGCAUUGCUGCGAUGUCAACAGUGGCCACAGCAGCAACUACGGCACUAACUAUAAAUCUCUCAAUAAUGACAUGAGCAGCAGCAGCAGCAGCAGUAGCAGCACAAACAGCAGCAGCAACAGCAGCAGUAGAAGCAACGGCAACUCGUCGAACUGUCCACCAUGCGAUGUGUUGUUGUAGCCGCGCUGCAUCCGCUGCAUAUUAUCUCACAAGCCUAAAUAAAUCAAAUAUUAUCCCACAUACAUAAAAAUAUAUAUAUAUAUAUAUAUUUGCCUCAAUACUGUGAUUGUGCGUUGAAGUGUCUCCAUGCAGCGUGUGGAUACUUCAAUGCGCCCGCCCAUCCCAUCUCUCUGUUGUUGUCGUCAUCGAAAUCCAACCUAGCUGCUGGCGGAGGCGCGUGAGCAGCGUAAGCGCGACGAUGAUGAUGAGGAGGAGAACGAAAUGGAUCGUGGACGUCAGCGAAAAAUUAAAUCGGCGUCGGUUAAAUGUGGCAGCGGAGCAACGGCAGCACCACCAGGCUACAAUCCAUUCCAGGAGUACGAGAGUCAAAAACGUUGGCACAG
rnacentral:misc_RNA from 1 species